UCAUCACGAAGAAGUCAUCGCCAUUAGCAUCAUCAGAAUGUCGUUGGAACGGUUGCAACAUGUUUCAACUGUCUCGGGCUCUCAGCGUUCGCUCGUCACUUACAGAACAAAGGAGGAUGUGACUUUGCGUCGUAAGAGGUUUUUGUUGUUCGUUUCGAGCAGCGGCUGCGGUGUUGCGUCCCGUCAGGCCAUCAAAGAACAAAGGAGGAUAUCAUUUUGCGUCGUAAGGGGUAAGCUGUGUGAUAGGAGUGUGUGAUCAAGCUUCACUUGUAUUCUCUCUGACUGCUGUGCUGUAGAGUUUUGUAUGUUUCGAGCGGCAGCUGCAGUUUUGCGUCCCCUCAGGUAAGUGUACAAGUAUCAGUUCGUGGCCGGUGUUGAUCGUGAACCAAAUUUGUUUGUUGCUAUGACCAUCUUACUCGGUUUUACUCACUUGCGUUUGAACAUUACUAAUUUGCGAUUGAACACCCUAUUCAGACACAUUUCUCUCCAGCGCUUCAGAGACGUCGCUUUCGCCGAAAUUCAGCGAAUUUUGAAGUCCACCGUUACCGAGGGUCGCUAGAAGAACUCAACCGGUCAUUGACUGUCUAUUAUGCGACGCGACACUGUGUGGCAUAAAGCAUGUGUACGUGUGGAAUACUUCGCUACUGUGUGCGCGGGAUGUUUUGUAUGAUUGUGUCGACACUGGAUACCACUUUCAAGGUGUG